GACGUGGGGGCGAAGAGGAU
rnacentral:misc_RNA from 1 species